UGGGCGCCGGCACGGCGAGCAGGGCAUGGCGGCCGCGGGAUCCUCUUCCUCCAUCUUGCCGCGGACCUCCCCUCCUCUGCGCUCACGCUCGACGGCCUCGUCGACAUCGCCUAUGGACGGGGCGGCGGCCGCGUCGGUGCGUGGCUUCGAUGCGGCGGCCGCGGCAGAGCACGGCUGGGCGCGGGCACGGCGAGCAGGGCACAGCGGCCGUGGGAUCCUCUUGUCGCAUCUUGCCGCGGACCUCCCCUCCUCUGCGCUCACGCUCGACGGCCUCGUCAACAUCGCCUAUGGACGGGUUGUGGCCAUGUCAGGGGAACGGAGCCCUCCACCUCCCCGGCCCCUUGUGCACUGGUGGCGCGGACCUCAACCUCCCCGGUGGCGCGGAGUCAACCACCUCCCGGCGGCGCGUGCGCUGCAAGGGCCAUUUGCCCAGUUCGUCAAAUAGAGUGGUCUUUUGUACAAGUUGAUGAAAUAGAGCUUGUUUGUUCGAUGGAUGAGUGUGUGCUGAUGGAUAUGUACUGUAAAUAGACUAGUUCUGUCAUGUAAAAUACGUUCCUUUGUCAUCGACUCUUAUACUGGUUGAUGCGAAAUUGCUAGGAAAGAUUUUGCCUACGCCUUCUACCAUGUACGGCCUCUGCACCAGCACUGUGGUCCAUAUUUUUUUUAAAUAAUAAAAACUUCUUUGCCGUCUCGGAUAUAUGGGGCUGACGCCGAAGGCUAGUCUAGCUGACGGCAAAGGCAUAGUCCAGCUGAAGGCAAAGAUGGUUUCUUUGCU
rnacentral:lncRNA from 1 species